rnacentral:rRNA from 1 species
GACGAACGCUGGCGGCGUGCUUAACACAUGCAAGUCGAACGGAAAGGCCCUGCUUGCAGGGUACUCGAGUGGCGAACGGGUGAGUAACACGUGGGUGAUCUGCCCUGCACUUCGGGAUAAGCCUGGGAAACUGGGUCUAAUACCGGAUAGGAGCCAUUUUUAGUGUGAUGGUUGGAAAGUUUUUUCGGUGUAGGAUGAGCUCGCGGCCUAUCAGCUUGUUGGUGGGGUAAUGGCCUACCAAGGCGGCGACGGGUAGCCGGCCUGAGAGGGUGGACGGCCACAUUGGGACUGAGAUACGGCCCAGACUCCUACGGGAGGCAGCAGUGGGGAAUAUUGCACAAUGGGCGCAAGCCUGAUGCAGCGACGCCGCGUGGGGGAUGACGGCCUUCGGGUUGUAAACUCCUUUCGCUAGGGACGAAGCUUU